rnacentral:tRNA from 1 species
GGGCAGUUGGCAGAGAGGCCGAUUGCAGCGGGUUGCUAACCCGCAGGCCCGUGUCGGGUCCGCAGGUUCGAAUCCUGCACUGCCCGCCA